rnacentral:lncRNA from 1 species
UUUGAAGAAUCGAUUCAUCUCUCUCGCUCUCCCUUUUUCGUCGCCUCUGGCGCAGUGAGGCGCUUCCUCUCUGAUUCGGCGGUGGAGAUGGCAGAUUCGGCUCUAAUUUGUUGAAGAAAUUUAGAAACGCAAAAUAUUAUUUUUCAUUGUUUUUGGGUUAUUUUUGUGGGUAUGAGAUUAUGUAGUGCUCGUAUUUUGAAUUACAUGUAGAUGGAAUUGGGGUUAUUGGUAUGCAUGUUUACUUUUUGAUUAAUGACUUGUUUGUGGGUUUGACAGCACAUGGAUCUUGAGACAGUGGAAAACAAUUUGACAGCACAUGGAUCUCUUGCUGCUCGUGAACAACGCCCUUGUGUUCUUCAGUAAGAACUCCUCGGAGGCCAGCGCGGCCGUGGAGAUCCGACGUCUCAUCUUCAAAGAGAUCUCUCAUAAAUAUGCCA